GUUUGUAUUCAAUGCCAAAGUAAAUAUGGUAGGCUUGCUUCUAUUCUUUUCAAGGUUCCUGUCUUUGGCUGCUCCUUUAUUUCCUAACUCCUCCAACAAAGCUAGAUCGCAUCACCUCCCUCUGCCCGUUGAUCAUAUCUACCUCAGCUAUUGCUUCCCCACCUUAUAGCUCGAAAUCAAUUACUGAUCAUUUUAGGUGAAAUAAUAGUUUUGGACACGUGUUUUUGGGCAAAGAAGAAGUGCGAGAUAGAGAGAGGAGGCUGGUCUUUGAAAAGAGAAGAAGAGGGAGAUUUAUGAAUUCCUUGAGUGGGUCUGUGGUGACACUCGUGGAUAACAUUGAUCCUUGAAAUUGUCGAGAAAGUACACAAUUGUAGGUUUUCUGGUGAAAUUGGGAAAAGAGUCAAAGACCCAGUUCAGCUGUUAGCGUACAGAUUGUUUUAGUUGCAAUGAGUUCAGGAAAUGUGGGGCGGCUGCCAUUAAUGAAUGUUGUUAAAUUUAAAGGAGUGCCAAUUCUGCGACAAUUGCAUUUGUAGGAAUGGUUGCUCAGGACUUCACCUCAAAACUGGUGCAUUGUAAAUGAUGGAACCAAUGAACCCACAAUUGUCAUGGGUAUUUCAGGGCGAGCCAUCAAUUUUCACCCUUUAUUUAUGACAAGAUUCCAGUAGUAAAGAGGUUUACUGGAGGAGGCACUGUAAUAGUCGAUCACAGGAUAAUUUUCAUCUCCUUCAUAUGCAAUAAGGAUGUUGUCCCUACUGUACAACCAUAUCCUAGGCCAUCAUGUCAUGGAGCAGCCAACUCUAUAGCAAGGUGUUUCAAGGAGUUGGGGAAACAAACAAUAUUUGAAUUUGCUCGUUUUCUCUUCUUCUCCGAUAUUUUCUUAUGUUCAAAGCUAACCCAAGAAAAACCAUUUAUAGGGGAUGUAAUAAUGAAGAAAAUUUCAAAGGAAAAUGACCCAUGUAAUACUUUUGAAGUUUUUUGUUUGAUGCUUGAGAAUUGCAUCCGCUGUAGAUGAGUAUUCGUCAUUUAUAGUUUUGAAAGCAUAUUCAAGAGUUGGUCUUGUUAAGCUAGGAAUUCAGGUUCAUGGACUAUUGAGGAAAUUGUGCACUGCUGGUGAUUUUCUUUCUCUGUUAA